rnacentral:misc_RNA from 1 species
GGUAAUUUGUCAUCUAUUAGAUCAUAUUCAUGGCCAACAGAAACUUUGGAGUGGUUCACUACACUCCAUCCAAUAUAUAUCACCUUUGCUGCCGUUCUUUUACAACAUCAUUUCUUCAGUUUGUGUAGUAUAUUGUAGUCUGAUUCUGAUUAGAUAAUACAAACCUUCCUUGGCUGCGUUGAUCACAUCUCGUCACAUUUGUC